AAGUCGUAACAAGGUCUCCGUUGGUGAACCAGCGGAGGGAUCAUUACCGGGUCGGCGACUGCCCGAAACCACACCGUGCACCGGCCUCGUGCCAUUUUCUCGUCGACGCCGCGGGGGGUUUGCUCGCUGGGGGAGCUGCUGGUCCUUGGGGCCGGCCCGCCGAGGCGUCGUCCGUUUAGAACCACGCUGAGAAGAGAACUUCAGAAGGUGCAAGCAGCGACCUUUGGGCGCUGAGAAACCUAGUCACAACUCACAACAAUGGAUCUCUUGGCUCCG
rnacentral:misc_RNA from 1 species